GCCUGAAUGGCUCAGUCGGUUGGGCGUCAGACUUCAGCUCAGGUCAUGUUCUCACGGUUUGUGGGUUCGAGCCCUGCAUCAGGCU
rfam:Felis catus isolate Cinnamon breed Abyssinian chromosome A1, whole genome shotgun sequence.